rnacentral:rRNA from 1 species
GAUGAACGCUAGCGGCAGGCUUAACACAUGCAAGUCGAGGGGUAUGGUUCUUCGGAACCAGAGACCGGCGCACGGGUGCGUAACGCGUAUGCAAUCUACCUUUCACAGAGGGAUAGCCCAGAGAAAUUUGGAUUAAUACCUCAUAGUAUAACGACCUGGCAUCAGGAUGUUAUUAAAGUCACAACGGUGAAAGAUGAGCA